rnacentral:lncRNA from 1 species
UGGAGUUCUAGCUCACCUUUCUGGUGUUGUUCUUGUACUCAUCUGUUUAAUCUAGUUCUGUCACUUCUUCUUAAACUUCUUGUUAGAUUUCAAGUCUGUAUUUUGUGUCCGUGACAAUUUGUCGAGACUGUACUAACUUGAGAUAUCAGAGCUAGUUCUUUCUUAGUAGAGUGUGGAUUACCCUUCUACUUGAAGGUAUACUAGCAUUUUUUAGAGGUUGCGGAUUACCCUCCUCUAAGCUGAU